GUAGGUCAGACCAGCAGCGCUCCCCACACCACAGUCCCAGUCAGAGGAGUUCUGCUCUGCAGAUCCCAGAGCCGCUGCUGCGCCGAUCCCAACCAAUGUGGGAGUCAUCGCUGGAGAUGGAAAGCCAGAAAGCGCCAGGAAGCAUUUUCUUCCCUUCAAAUGUCAGCUGAGUAUUUACUGCUGGGAAAGGAGAGGUCUGCAGCGAAUGCAAGGAGUCCCCAAAGCUGCGGGCAGCCCCGUAGGAAGCAGAGGAGAAGCUCUGUGGGGAGAAAGGAGAGGGAAGGAUCGGCAGCUGUGUCCCAAAAGGAUGGGGAAAUCUCAGCGCUGCCUUCUGGCUCUGCUGUGGUCCCCUCACCGCGGCACCGAGGAGCCGUGGGUCCCAGCUGCAAAACCAGGGCUUGCAAAACCAGAGCUGAUGCACGCCAAGGAAUGACACGGACUUAGCGGGGCUGCUCUCCCCAUCGCCAGCUGCUGCUGCGGUCGGCCGCGGCUGAUUUGCCGAAGGGAUUCCUCUCCUGGCACUGCAGGAUUUGUGCCCGUGGGGAUGUGGGCCCAGCGUGGGGUUGGCAGCAGCGGGCGGCUGUCCGUGUGUGCCUCGUUAAGGCGCUGUGAUGUGGGGGCGUGGGGUGCCGACCCCAUCGGCGGGCGCUUUGUGGGGCAGAGGGGGGAAUUUGGGUGCUGCACCAUUCCCAUACCCGGGCUUGGAAACGUGGGCAGCGCACGUGAGCGCAGUGCUGGGGCUGAUUCGGGAGCAAUCCCUGCCAAGCAGCCCAAAUCCUCCUUUUCCCACCCAAAUACGGCCUCAGCCAAGAAACGGGCCGUAUCCACGGCAACGCCGGCGCGUGGUGGCUGCGCUGCGAUCCGCCACUCAUCCCAUUGGGAGCGCCGGGACCGCGGCUGCGCUGGGGGCGAUGGGG
ensembl:lncRNA